rnacentral:rRNA from 1 species
UACGAAGGGGGCUAGCGUUGCUCGGAAUCACUGGGCGUAAAGCGUGCGCAGGCGGUUUCUUAAGUCAGAUGUGAAAGCCCCGGGCUUAACCUGGGAACUGCGUUUGAAACUGGGAGACUUGAGUAUGGCAGAGGGGGGUGGAAUUCCACGUGUAGCAGUGAAAUGCGUAGAUAUGUGGAGGAACACCGAUGGCGAAGGCAGCCCCCUGGGUUAACACUGACGCUCAUGCACGAAAGCGUGGGGAGCAAACAGG